rnacentral:rRNA from 1 species
AGUGAACGCUGGCGGUAGGCCUAACACAUGCAAGUCGAACGGCAGCACAGUAAGAGCUUGCUCUUACGGGUGGCGAGUGGCGGACGGGUGAGGAAUACAUCGGAAUCUACUUUUUCGUGGGGGAUAACGUGGGGAAACUUACGCUAAUACCGCAUACGACCUACGGGUGAAAGCAGGGGAUCUUCGGACCUUGCGCGAUUGAAUGAGCCGAUGUCGGAUUAGCUAGUUGGCGGGGUAAAGGCCCACCAAGGCGACGAUCCGUAGCUGGUCUGAGGGGAUGAUCAGCCACACUGGAACUGAGACACGGUCCAGACUCCUACGGGAGGCAGCAGUGGGGAAUAUUGGACAAUGGGCGCAAGCCUGAUCCAGCCAUACCGCGUGGGUGAAGAAGGCCUUCGGGUUGUAAAGCCCUUUUGUUGGGAAAGAAAAGCAGCAGGUUAAUACCCCGCUGUUCUGACGGUACCCAAAGAAUAAGCACCGGCUAACUUCGUG